rnacentral:rRNA from 1 species
UACGUAGGGACCAAGCGUUGUUCGGAUUUACUGGGCGUAAAGGGCGCGUAGGCGGCGUGUUAAGUCAGCUGUGAAAUCUCCAAGCUUAACUUGGAACGGUCAGCUGAUACUGAUGUGCUAGAGUGCAGAAGGGGCAAUCGGAAUUCUUGGUGUAGCGGUGAAAUGCGUAGAUAUCAAGAGGAACACCUGAGGUGAAGACGGGUUGCUGGGCUGACACUGACGCUGAGGCGCGAAAGCUAGGGGAGCGAACGGG